UACCUGGUGGUCUAGUGGUUAGGAUUCGGUGCUUUCACCGUCGUGGCCUGGGUUUGAUUCCCAGCCAGGGAA